GACCGAGUAAAUUAAAGACCUCAGCCGGGGCGAGCAUCUUCAUUCUCUCGCCCAGUCAUUGGGGAGCGAGUUCCGAAGAGAGGGGCGGCGGCAGGCAGCUUCCCCUUCUGCUACGGGGGCAUCGCCCGCUUGCCUCGACCUGCUGGCAGCUGGGUUUGCCCCGGAAAUGCAUUUUCCUCGUUUUGCAAAAACCUGGCCCCGAUUUUAAUUUCACCAUGGGUAGAAGGGUAGAGGUUUCCACUUAAAAGUCCGAAACAAAACUAGACGAAAGUUAAGUGGAGACCGCUGUGGAUCUUCAUUCUUGCCUCUGUUUUUAAGAAAGUGGAGUCGCACACCACCUUAUUUCUUUCCUCCCCCCCGAAAAAAAAAACUGGCUGAAGAAGACACCCUCGUUUUUCUGCGUCUUUUCCAACGCAUCCCUGCCUGACUCGGGUGUCUACUGGAGGCCACAGUAGGGAGAAGGGCAGAGAGGCCUGGAAAAAUGAAAUAAGAAUUUUAACAAUAGAUAUGACCAACGAAACUUGGACCAACUCAUUCUGCAAAAGGGAGCCAGACCAAGGGAGAGAAAUUCGCUAGUUUCUCAGGGGUCACUUCCCCUCCUGCCUAGUUAAAUCUGGCUCUGUUCUUUUUUUUUUUUCUAGGACCAUGGUAUCUCCCUUCCCAAUGUUUUAUUCCAUUCCUAGUUGCUUCCCUUUGGACAAGAAGCAUGUGGGAAGAAUACUAGCUAUUUCCAUUAUUUUAAUAUCCAAUAUUCUCCUCUAGUAUUUUCACUGAGAAUUACUACUGCUGCUAUGCUUGUUCACACUGAUGUUCUGUGCUUUGGAAAUAUUCCUCCCCGCUCCCCCAAAUUUGGCGAGAGUGAGAUCCCUUCCUCCCCCCCAUCAGGAUAAUAAAAUGAGAAAUGGAAGUGGGAGCAUCAUUCUAGGGGCCCAGCUGAGAUCUCAAUGCUGGAGAUUUGCAAGCUCCCAAAGAGCCGAGAAGGUGGUAAGGAAUACAAAGGAGCAUCUCUGCUCUUGCCCCUCCAAUUUAGAGAGUCCUCCAAGGAGGAGGAGGAUAAGGAUCUUGAACUGAGAGAGAACCUGGAGCCACCUCCUACCCCGUGGUCCACAAUGAGCCUGAGAGCUCCAACCAUAUCUGCAGCCCAGAACCUGGGCUCCGGUGUAGUCAGCCUGUCCACACAGCCCCCAAAAGAUGUGGGGGAAAGAAUACUGAAUCCCAGGGCUCUGGCCCAGUUUGAUAGAGACUCAGGCUAAUACCUCCAGGUCUGGCUGUCUGGAUACUCCCUCCCUCAACUGGAGGGUGCAGUGGAAAUUUGGGAACCCACUGCUCUCGGGAGCUCUGGAAAGACAAAUUUUCUUUGGCAAAGGGAACGGUGUCGCGCUGUCGACACAGCAGACUAUUUUUCUUGUUCCCUCACGAGGGUGGGGGGAGAGAAAAGAAAGCGAGAAAGAAAGGGAAAUUAAAUCCACACGUGUUAAGCUUGCUCAAAGGGCCGGAUUCAAAACCAGAGACGAAACCGCGACUCCAGUUCUGGCUGCCCGUGGGCCUCCUUCCAGCCAGCCUGGGCCUCACAGAGCAAGACGUCCACACCGGCGAGAACUCCAUCUAAUGUUUCAUAAAGCGCUUUCUUUAAGGGGGGAAGGGACAUGGUUCCUGUCUGCGCUGCAGGGAGUCAGAACUCGGUCUAUUUGCAGCGAAGCAAACAAAGGGGAGAGCACUCCCCACCCCACCCCCCUUUAGGAAAGUCCAGCUUGACAUCUCCUAGUCAAGUCGAUGAUUCAGGUAACAACUUUAUAGGCAAAAUAAGCCCGGCCAGUGAUUUUGGAAAUUUGUAAGGUCUGACCAAGCUUUCGGACUUGGACAUGCCUGGGUCAAAGAGAACCUAAAAAGCACUUCUACGGACGCUGGAAUUGUCAGUUUAAUCUGGGUGGCUACGCCUCGUAUCCCUCGCUUCUGUCUUCCGAGGAGAAACUGGCCAGGACCAUGGCUACAGGCCCCAGCUGCGGAGGAGCUCUGCAGGGGUGCUGGGAGGUAGGGGUGGAGGACAGAGUGGCCUCCCCACCCCCAGCUGUGAGUGAAAACUCUAGUAAUGACUUUGAGGAGGUGAAGGGACACGUGUGGGGGUGCAGAUGACGAGGGCGGCCAGACCCCAAACUAGAAGGAUCCAUCACCAGAACGAUUGCUUGGUCAAGACCUCUAAUUUUUCUUCCCUUUCAGCCCGGGGCCUUGAGCACCGCAGCCAGUACCCCCACACCACACCCCCAUUCUGGGCCUCCUAGAGCUGGGUUUCUGGCCUUUGGAGGCGAUCCCGACAGAAGGGUCCAGAAGCGGAGACCCCAGACGCCCAGCUGCCAUGCACACACACACCCGGAAAACCCUGGGGUGAAACUGAGGUUUGUCUUGGGGUGCAACUGACAGGCUAGUGGCAAAGAAAAGUUCCUGGUGACCAUUUCUGCGCGGUGGGGGGUUGGGGAGGCUCCUGGUCACCAUGGCAACCCAGGAGUCCCUUGAAUGCUCUCAACAAGGGGGCACCCCAGGACCACUGAGCUUUCCUGGAAUAGUGAGUAGGGCCUUCUGAGGCCUGCAAGGCUCUUCCUCCUGUGGCUCUGGGCUUUCCAGAGCCUCCCGUGUGGGUUCAACGCACCAGGGACUGACAAACGCCCCAUCUUUGAAACAGAGGAGAAAAUCGAGAUUUAGUCUCUGCUGGAUGGGUUCAGAUCUGGAGCAAAAGCCCCCACUUGGAUUUGCCCGCCAGUGGUGACCUCAGAGGCCCAGGCUCAGGCAGUGGGAGGGAUGCUUUCACCCAAGCCCGAACUCCAAAAUCCCAGCCGGGUCUCUUCACACAUACUAUUCACCCCAAUAGGCUUGGCUUUCAAGGCUCCCUGCAUUGGUUCAAACAACCCUUUUGCCUGCCUGGAUUAACUUCUAAAUGGAACAGUCAGGAAGGAGAAAUUGUGGCUUUCACGUCUACAAGUCCUUACUGAAAGAAAGAAUACAUUAUACUCCUUUUACAGAAAACAUUUUCCAUUGUGGAUAUAAUAUAAACGGCAUUAAAAUAGUAUGUUGGGGUUCUCUUACUUUCUUCUUGAACCUGUAGGGCGAACUGCCCCUCUUUUUUCUGGAGGUGGGCAGUGCACCAUACAGGCUGACUUUUCUGUUUCCAUUUUGGAGGCAGCAAGCUCCGGUAAAGAGCCAGGGCACUGACCAACUUAGGAGCCAUCGAGGGAGCCAGAGAGAAAACGGGCCUCAGAGAGAAGGGAUCCAGGCCUGUGUGCAGGCUGAGACUUCUCUGGCUGCAGGUUGGACAAGACCAGUUCAGGGGAAGAAGGACGUGCGGGUUUUGCAGCAGCCAAGAGAGAAGCCCAUCUCCAGACUCUAAGCUGCUGAGGACAGAGAGCGUGGCGCCCAUCCCAUUUACACAGUCGAUGCUAGAGAGAUACUUAUUGAACAAAGUAUAUGAAGCUCUUAAACAGCUGGACUCAGAGUCAAAGAUGUGAAGACAGAGGACAUAUCAGGAAUCAAUAAAGGGCACAGGACUACCUGCUCCAGACAAUAAAACAGGAUAGAAGUCUAAACAGUGAUACGUUUGGACGGAGAAAUAAAACCUGUAGCACAGUUUUGGCUUUCUGAGCCUUGAAGCCCUGAAACAGUUCCUCUCUCCCUGCCCCAAGUGCCCCCCAGCCCUGGACCUCCCCUCUCUUGUCCUGUGGACCUUCCUUUUGUCCACCCCUCUAUCUGGUCCCAGGAGCCUGGAGAAGGAGCCAGGAGAUUAGUGAAAGUGGUAUUUUUAUAGGCUGAUAAAAACUGUGCUUAUCUAGAAAGCUUUGUCCCAUCUCCCCCCAGUCUCCCUAAUUGGUCAUUUGCCCAGUGUCCUCUCCACCCUCCCGGCCUCCUUGCCUCUGCUCUUUUCCCCACCGCCCUUCCCUCCAGCAAGGGCUGCCCCACAGGAAACCUUUGCUGGGAGGAUUUGUGGGAUGGAGGGGGAGGGGUGGUGUUGGGGGAGGGGUGCGGACUUCUCCGAGUGGGUUUGCUGCGCCACUCUUUAAUGAUGCCAAAUAUAUUAAAUUCUAUACUCUAGCAGCCUCUUAAAUCCGUUUAUGGCCCAUGCUAGACCCUGGGCUAUAAUAAUAAUAAAAAUAAAAGAAAGGAUUUAUGUAGCCAGGGUGUGGACUCGUCACUGGGAGAAAAGAAAGAAUUGUUUCUAGCUGAUCUCACUGGCCUGUCGCCCACCUCCUGACCUCCUGUUUCCCUGGGGGUGGGGGUGGGGGUCCCGGGGUCAGGAAGGGAGAGGACCAAGUUCCUCCUGGGACAGAGUUAGGAAGCUGCAGAAGAUGUCCACUUAAAAGGAGCAUUUGCUGGGCUUUCUCAAACUCAUGUUUCCAGACCC